AAGGGUCUGAGCGAAUGAUCGCCAGUACACAGCUCCUCAGCACAGGGUGCUGCUGCUCCGGCAGGCAAAACUUUGGGCUCUACGGUCGAGAAGAAACCAGGGGUUCUUUCAACAAGUCUCCAGAAGGCAGGUUUGGAGCACCUGUUCUGGGCACUUUCCUAAGAGAGUAGAAGACACAGUCCCCACUUUGAAGAGUUUAAUGUCAAAAAGUGCCUCUCCACAAUUAUACAGUUUGCACUCUUUGUAAAUUUCUACAACUUUGGCUCCAAGUGCAGAUGAGGGUGAAGACCUGCUGCAGACACGCCGCCAAUGGAAGAAGAAUGGAAGACUUACCACAGGCGGGCCUCCAGAGGGGAACAGCAGCCGUGGACCUGCAGAGCUGCUGCCGAAAAAAUGGAGGAGUGUCGUCUGGCGGCACUCUUGGUGCCGCGCAUCCCCCGGGAUCAUCUUGCACACCCCCUGGGGUGCGUGCACCCCAGUUUGUAGACGACUGUCCUAGGUAACCACGGACCCCACAGUCAGUAAUUUGGAUGCUCAGCGUCCUUUCCAGAAAAUUUCUGAUGGCUUCCUAUGGCUGAUUCCCCUAAGAGGAGAGGAAGGAAGCCAGCAAGGAGAAAGAGUGUGCGAGGAGCUUGCAAAAGCUAAAUGGGUGGCUCCCUUAAUUCAUUUCUCCUGCACAGAUGAUUGUUAGAAGGGGGACAACUUCUUUCCUUUGAACCUUGGCUGACAUUAGCUUUGCAUUCACAUUUUGACUCUUACUGCAGGCUGCCUUUGUUUUGCACUAUAAAUGAAGCUAAUUCCUUCCCAGUGCAACCAGCCAAUCAUAACACAUUAAAAGGAAAGGAGUCCAGAUCAUCAGCUGGUGUAAAACAUCAUGGCUUCAUUGACUGAUAAUGGGGCUAUGUUGAUUUACACCUGCUGGAGAUGUGGCCCAAGUUGUAGUUCAUAAUCACUUCUUUUAGAGAAACCAGCCAUAGAGAUACUUUGGUGGCAAGGGAGGUGCAUGUGUGUGUGUCUGGGGGGCUCAUUAGUACAUGGCUCUGUUCAAGAGGGACCCUGUGUCCCCGUCCACUGUGCAUCAUGGCAGGAUUUAUUCCUUUUUUCCAACCCCCCCGAGCCAUUGCAUACUGGAUAAUCCACUUAUACAAAGACCAAACUACUUGUACAUUGAAUUGGAAUUGUGUGGUGUUCACACUCAAAUAGUAAGACUUUGCUCUUCCCAGGGCACUUGUGUGUUGAUCAUGUUUGUUUAUUCACCAUAAGUGAUCACCCUGAGUGGUGUGCAUGUGUUUGGAGAAAAAAGUAAUAUUCAUGAAUAAAUGUAUAAAGUGCAAUCUU